rnacentral:rRNA from 1 species
UUCUUUUUGUUUAAAUGAAAAGUAAGACCUGCCCACUGAAGUUUAAAGGGCUGCAGGAUUUAACUGUGCAAAGGUAGCAUAAUAAUUAGUUUUUUAAUUAAGGAAUGGAAUGAAUGGUUUAAUAAUGUGUAGUUUUUAAUAUAUGUGGUAGUAAAAUUGAUUUAUAAGUGAAAAAGCUUAUUUAUCUCUAAUAGACGAUAAGACCCUAUAGAUCUUAAGCUUUAAAUUAGGUUUAUAUGCAGAUUAGUAAAAUUAAUUUUAAUGCUUUUACUGGGGUGGUAGAAGAACUUAGUUAGCUUCUAGUGUUUUAUUAACUUUAAUUUUGAAUAAAAAAGAUACCUUAGGGAUAACAGCGUUAUUAAACUUAGGAGAUCUUAUCUAUAGUUUAGUUUGCGACCUCGAUGUUGGAUUAAAA